CCACCCAACUGCUACUCCCUGUGACACGGCCACCACGGUCCUUCCUGCUGACCUUCAACAGCCACACAAGGGAAAAACAGAAACUCCUGAAGACAUAAACACUGCCAAACUGCAGUCACUUGCAGACACUUACCAUUGAUAAGCAAGACAGAAAGAAACCAGUUUGAUGUUUUUGGUCUAAAUGUAUCAAAAUUGCACACAAAAGGCACAACAAGCCAAACGACACCAUAUGAACCUUUUUCUUCAUUGCAUUUUCAGAUGCCAUAAGCAAACCAGGAUUUGAUACCACAUUAAUCAGAGCUUUAUAAAUGCAACAGAAAAAAAACAACAUGCAGGUGAAUGAUCACUUCAGCAGACGGACAAAUGAAACUAUUAAAACUUUUUUAGGAACGUUAUUUAAUUUGCUGACUCCAAUCAGUCACUGCAGGAGCGGAGUGUUGGUAGCCCUUACUUGGAAUAAAUAUACUUGAUUUUUUUUCUUUUUUUAAUACAUUUCAGAGGGUGUUUCUUCAGCUUUCUGGUAGAGCAGACUUAAUAACAGAGAUGUAUGCAUGCCAUGGUAGACCAGCAUGCAGAACUUUAAUUACAGCUAUAUCAAUUUUAGACCCUCAAAUCUUGUUAAAAAUACCAUUACAUUAGAAAAGCUUCAUUGCAUCGAUUGUGUAGCUAUUCCUUUAUAUUUUGGAAUGCAUUUGUUAAAGGUGACACCAUUUAUCUCCAUGUUCUAGUUCAUCAACAUGUUCCAGAAUUUUUUUUAAUAACCUCAAAUGUGUAGCAUCGUAUCUUAAAAUCCUAAUUAAAGAGCUGGUUUAUGCCAGCAAAGAAAUUAAAAAGCAUGAGCUUUCAUGCAUAAUCAUUAGGAAACUGGGUAAAAAAUUCCAUCAAAUACUUGCACAGGUUUAGACUUCUAAUGCACAAAACACUUCCUGUAUUGACUUCUUUGAAUGUCCUAAACAUUUGCAAUCCAAUAAUUUUCAUUUUAAAGGCUGCAACUUUUUUAAAGGAAAAGAUAGAUCCCUUUUUAGUAGCAGCCUGAUUCAAAACAUCUCUAAAGGAAACUCUUCUUGGAGAUAGAAUUGUAAAGGGCUGAUAUGUACCUGGGAAUGUAAAUAAGCUUUGUCUUUACUGAGCAUGGAUUUCCCUGCAACAAGUGCAGAUUAGUGGACCAGCAAGCAUUUGCCUGUGUAAAGGAUAAUGGAAAUAGAAGUUGCCCAUUUAGUUAAGUAUUAGCAUUUUCCCAAGCAAUUUUACAAUGUCAGUCAUCGCACUAAGACUAGGACUUCUACCACAAGAAUUGAUUGCCUUCAAGGUGACUAAGUCACAGUAGAGAAAAAUAAA